UGGGGGAUAUUGCACAAUGGGCGAAAGCCUGAUGCAGCGACGCCGCGUGGGGGAUGAAGGCUUUCGGGUUGUAAACCUCUUUCGCUAUCGAACAAGGCCCGCUUAGGGUGGGUUGAGGGUAGGUGGAGAAGAAGCGCCGGCUAACUACGUGCCAGCAGCCGCGGUAAUACGUAGGGCGCGAGCGUUGUCCGGAAUUAUUGGGCGUAAAGGGCUUGUAGGCGGCUUGUUGCGCCUGCUGUGAAAACGCGGGGCUUAACUUCGCGCGUGCAGUGGGUACGGGCAGGCUUGAGUGUGGUAGGGGUGACUGGAAUUCCAGGUGUAGCGGUGGAAUGCGCAGAUAUCUGGUGGAACACCGAUGGCGAAGGCAGGUCACUGGGCCAUUACUGACGCUGAGGAGCGAAAGCAUGGGUAGCGAACAGG
rnacentral:rRNA from 1 species